rnacentral:rRNA from 1 species
GACGAACGCUGGCGGCGUGCCUAAUACAUGCAAGUUGAGCGCUGAAGGUUGGUACUUGUUCCAACUGGCUGAGCAGCGAACGGGUGAGUAACGCGUGGGGAAUCUGCCUUUGAGCGGGGGACAACAUUUGGAAACGAAUGCUAAUACCGCAUAAAAACUUUAAACACAAGUUUUAAGUUUGAAAGAUGCAAUUGCAUCACUCAAAGAUGAUCCCGCGUUGUAUUAGCUAGUUGGUGAGGUAAAGGCUCACCAAGGCGAUGAUACAUAGCCGACCUGAGAGGGUGAUCGGCCACAUUGGGACUGAGACACGGCCCAAACUCCUACGGGAGGCAGCAGUAGGGAAUCUUCGGCAAUGGACGAAAGUCUGACCGAGCAACGCCGCGUGAGUGAAGAAGGUUUUCGGAUCGUAAAACUCUGUUGGUAGAGAAGAACGUUGGUGAGAGUGGAAAGCUCAUCAAGUGACGGUAACUACCCAGAAAGGGACGGCUAACUACGUG